rnacentral:rRNA from 1 species
GAUGAACGCUGGCGGCGUGCUUAACACAUGCAAGUCGAACGGUGAAGGCGGAGCUUGCUCUGCUGGAUCAGUGGCGAACGGGUGAGUAACACGUGAGCAAUCUGCCCCUGACUCUGGGAUAGGCGCUGGAAACGGCGUCUAAUACUGGAUACGAGCUGCGAAGGCAUCUUCAGCAGCUGGAAAGAACUUCGGUCAGGGAUGAGCUCGCGGCCUAUCAGCUUGUUGGUGAGGUAACGGCUCACCAAGGCGUCGACGGGUAGCCGGCCUGAGAGGGUGACCGGCCACACUGGGACUGAGACACGGCCCAGACUCCUACGGGAGGCAGCAGUGGGGAAUAUUGCACAAUGGGCGAAAGCCUGAUGCAGCAACGCCGCGUGAGGGACGACGGCCUUCGGGUUGUAAACCUCUUUUAGCAGGGAAGAAGCGAAAGUGACGGUACCUGCAGAAAAAGCGCCGGCUAACUACGUG